AUUGAACGCUGGCGGCAUGCCUUACACAUGCAAGUCGAACGGUAACAGGUCUUCGGAUGCUGACGAGUGGCGAACGGGUGAGUAAUACAUCGGAACGUGCCUAGUAGUGGGGGAUAACUACUCGAAAGAGUGGCUAAUACCGCAUGAGAUCUACGGAUGAAAGCAGGGGAUCGCAAGACCUUGCCCUACUAGAGCGGCCGAUGGCAGAUUAGGUAGUUGGUGGGAUAAAAGCUUACCAAGCCGACGAUCUGUAGCUGGUCUGAGAGGACGAUCAGCCACACUGGGACUGAGACACGGCCCAGACUCCUACGGGAGGCAGCAGUGGGGAAUUUUGGACAAUGGGCGAAAGCCUGAUCCAGCAAUGCCGCGUGCAGGAUGAAGGCCUUCGGGUUGUAAACUGCUUUUGUACGGAACGAAAAGCCCCGGGUUAAUACCCAGGGGUCAUGACGGUACCGUAAGAAUAAGCACCGGCUAACUACGUGCCAGCCGCCGCCGUAA
rnacentral:rRNA from 1 species